rnacentral:rRNA from 1 species
GACGAACGCUGGCGGCGCGCUUAACACAUGCAAGUCGAGCGAUGAAAUUUCGACAGAUUCCUUCGGGGUGAAGAUGAAAUGGAUUAGCGGCGGACGGGUGAGUAACACGUGAGUAACCUGCCUUUGACAUAGGGAUAGCUACGGGAAACUGGGAUUAAUACCAAAUGACACUAAAUGAUCACAUGAUAACUUAGUCAAAGAAAUUCGGUCAAAGAUGGACUCGCGGCUGACUAGCUAGUUGGCGAGGUAACGGCCCACCAAGGCGACGAUCAGUAGCCGGCCUGAGAGGGUGAUCGGCCACAUUGGAACUGAGACACGGUCCAAACUCCUACGGGAGGCAGCAGUGGGGAAUAUUGCACAAUGGGGGAAACCCUGAUGCAGCGACGCCGCGUGAGCGAAGAAGGCCUUCGGGUCGUAAAGCUCUUUUAUGAGGGAAGAUAAUGACGGUACCUCAAGAAAAAGCCCCGGCUAACUACGUG